rnacentral:rRNA from 1 species
CCCUUAGAUGUUCUGGGCUGCACGCGCGCUACACUGUCGGAUUCAGCGAGUCAUAUCCUUAACCGAAAGGUUUGGGUAAUCUUUUGAAAGUCCGACGUGAUGGGGAUUGAUCAUUGCAAUUAUUGGUCAUGAACGAGGAAUUCCUAGUAAGCGCGAGUCAUCAGCUCGCGUUGAUUACGUCCCUGCCCUUUGUACACACCGCCCGUCGCUACUACCGAUUGAAUGGUUUAGUGAGAUCUUCGGAUUGGCGCCUACGCGGCUUCUCUGAGGCCACGCUGGAUGCCGAAAAGUUGCUCAAACUGUAUCAUUUAGAGGAAGUAAAAGUCGUAACA